GUAGUCGUGGCCGAGUGGUUAAGGCGAUGGACUUGAAAUCCAUUGGGGUCUCACCGCGCAGGUUCGAAUCCUGCCGACUACG
rnacentral:tRNA from 2 species